rnacentral:tRNA from 1 species
AAGUAUGAAGCAAAAAUUUGCAUUUAGUUUCGACCUAAAAGUCUAAUCGUAAGAUUCUUACUUA